GUCCAAUGGCGUAGAGCACAGGGCGGCCACCCUUUACAGCCAGUACACAUCCAAGAACGACGAGAACAGAUCCUUUGAAGGAACAUUAUACAAAAGAGGAGCCUUGCUGAAGGGGUGGAAACCCCGUUGGUUUGUUUUAGAUGUAACAAAACACCAGCUCAAGACCAGCAAGCGAGUGUACAACUUCUGUGCCCAGGACGGACAGAGCGCCCAGCAGUGGAUGGACAGGAUCCAGAGCUGCAUCUCCGAUGCCUGAUGCCCGUGACCACACAAGCAGGAGAGGCAGAGGAGCAGCCUCAUCUGCCUGACAGACAGGGCGAUGGUGGCCAUCCCAGGGCCUGGGGUUACCCUGUCCCCUCCUGAAGCAAUCGCCUUGUCACACAGGUCUGGGAAGGAGCCCUGGCCCUCUCCCUGCCGCAUCCCCACAGGAUUUAAGUGGCUGGGGCUCAGAGGAU
rnacentral:lncRNA from 1 species